GGCCGCCUGGCGAAAUGGCAUCGCGUCUGACUACGACUUUGUGUAAUCAGGAGAUUGCAGGUUCGACCCCUGCGGUGGUCA